rnacentral:rRNA from 1 species
CUACGGGCCGCUGCAGUGAGGAAUAUUGCACAAUGGGGGGAACCCUGAUGCAGCAACGCCGCGUGGAGGAUGACGCAUUUCGGUGUGUAAACUCCUUUUAUAUGUCAAGAAAAUGACGGUAGCAUAUGAAUAAGCACCGGCUAACUCCGUGCCAGCGGCCGCGGUAAUACGGAGGGUGCAAGCGUUACUCGGAAUCACUGGGCGUAAAGGACGCGUAGGCGGGUUGGAAAGCCAGGUGUGAAAUCCUACAGCUUAACUGUAGAACUGCACUUGAAACUUCUAAUCUAGAGUAUGGGAGGGGGAGAUGGAAUUAGUGGUGUAGGGGUAAAAUCCGUAGAUAUCACUAGGAAUACCUAAAGCGAAGGCGAUCUCCUGGAACAUUACUGACGCUAAGGCGUGAAAGCGUGGGGAGCAAACAGGAUUAGAUACCCUAGUAGUC